AGAAGUGUUUGCUUUGUUCAACAUUCGAGACUCCACCUUUCUGGUUUAGAUAAGUUUUCCCUCGUAAAUAAGAUAAAUGUGACAAGCAGUACAAAAUAAAGGGGGAAAUGAACCUCUUAGUGCAGAAGUGGUGAAGUAAGCUUAUGUAAGAAUGUAUCCUUCUAUAUACAGUGGUGUGAGAUAAUUCCAGAUGACAGAAGGUUUGAAGUUAUCAAUUAGAAGACAGUACGUUAAAGGGACGAACAUCUCCUGAGCGCCAAAUCAAAGAUGCUGCAAAGGAACAGCCAAGUGUGGAUGGACAAGGGAGGAUGGCUGAGCAUGGCCACAGCAAUAGGCAGUGUGUCAACAACAGAGCUAGCACUGCUUUGUGAUAUAUAGCCAGAGAACAGUGAUACACAGUACCCAUUUGUUUCUGCUAUGAAGGAGCCAUUUCCCUUACUUCACUAUGAACAGUCACUUCCUCGGGACUAAAAAUAAAAGGGCAAUGCUCUUUCAUCUCCUUCUGUUUCAGCUACAGCAUGACCAUCCAUGUGUGUCUUCCAUUUGGGCCUUUAGAUUGAGUGCUGUUCCAGACCCAACACAGACAAAAUGUCCAGCAGGGGAGGGAAGAAGAAGUCAACCAAGACUUCACGCUCUGCAAAAGCUGGGGUGAUAUUCCCUGUUGGAAGAAUGCUCCGUUAUAUUAAGAAAGGCCAUCC